GAAAUGCGAUAAUUAAUGUGAAUUGCAGAAUUCAGUGAAUCAUCGAGUCUUUGAACGCACAUUGCGCCCCCUGGUAUUCCGGGGGGCAUGCCUGUCCGAGCGUCAUUCUGCCCUCAAGCACGGCUUGUGUGUUGGGCUUCCGUCCCUGGCAACGGGGACGGGCCCAAAAGGCAGUGGCGGCACCAUGUCUGGUCCUCGAGCGUAUGGGGCUUUGUCACCCGCUCCCGUAGGUCCAGCUGGCAGCUAGCCUCGCAACCAAUCUUUUUAACCAUGUUGACCUCGGAUCAGGUAGGGAUACCCGCUGAACUUAAGC
rnacentral:misc_RNA from 1 species